AGUGCUUCCUGCUUCCGGUGGUACCUGCAGAGAUCGAAUAGAAAGUCUGCGGGCGCCAGGCAGCCAGAGAACAAGUCAAGAGAAACUGCAUUCUUUGGGUCCAGCAUCGCUCAACCCCCACCUAGUGAAACCACCUGGCCCAGGGAAGUGCCUUCAGCCCUUACUGGAAGUACCAGCAGGCAUUGAGUGACAGUCUCAGGAAGCCAGAAGAACACAGCAGGCCAGAAUUGCAUUAUAAGGGCUCUGGAAACUAAAUUGUCAUUGAAACUACAGCCAAAUUUAAACAGUGAUUACCUGCUAACAUACAAAAUUAGGAUUUUAAAGCAGCCAUUAUAAAAUUGCUUCAACAAGCAAUGAUGAAUUAUCUUGAAACAAAUGAAAAACUAGAAAAUACAGCAAAGAAAUAGAAGUUAUAAAAAAGUACAAAAUGGAAAUUAUGGAUAGGAAAAAUACAAUAAUCAAAUUAAAAACUGUGUCUGAUGGGCUUAAUAGUACACUGGAAAUGUCAGAGAACAGAGUCAUUGAACUUGAACACAGAUCAAUAGAAUUUAUUCCAUCUGAACAACAAGAGAGAAAAUAGCCUGAAAAAGAAAUACUACAGCUCCUCAGAGACUUUGGGACAGUAACAAAAAAUCUAACAUUCAUAUUAUUGGAAUCCCAGGAGAUGAGAAAGAAUGUGAGACUGAACAACUACUGGAAGAAAUAAUGACUGAAUACUUCCCAAAUUUGUCAAAAGACCUAAACCUGCAGAUUCAAGAAACUGAAUGAACCUCAAAGAGAAAAACCCAAGGAAAUCUACACCAAGAUAUAUUAUAAUUAAAUUCUGCAAACUAAAGACAAAGAAGAAAAAUCUUCAAAGCAACCAGAGAGAAAUUAUGCAUUAGCUGUUGGGGAACAGCAGUUCAGAUGGCAACAUGAUUCUUACCGGAAACCUUGGAGGGCAGGAGGAAGUGGCACAACAUUUUUCAAGUGCUAGAAGAAAAGAGUCAGCUGCAAGUUCUAUAUCUGGUAAAACUAUCCUUCAGGAAUAAAGGGAAAGUAACGACAUUCUUAGAGGAAAACUAAGAGCAUUUGUUGCUAGCAGAUAUACCCUUAGAGAAAGGCGAAAGGAGACUCUCCAAAAAGAUAAGAUACCAUAACAGGAGGAGGCUUGGAAUUUCAGAAAUGAAAGAACAACGAGAACAAUGGAAUGGGCAAAAAUAGGGGUAAAUAUAAGUGGACUAUCCUCAUGAAUUUUAAAAAUCAUAUUUGAUGAUUGAAACAAAAAUUGUAGUACCAUCUGAUGUGCUGCUCAAUGUACGAAAAGGAAAUACCUAAGACAUUAUAUUUAAAAAGCAGGGAGAACAAAAGAUCUAAAUGGAAGUAAGCAAAACCAUACACUGAAAAGUGAAAAUGGGAUUUUAAAAAAUGUUUAGCCCACAGGAAGGCAGGAGAAACAGAGGGAACAAAUAAAAAACAGAGCCACCCUCCAUGCCCUCCUCACUGACACCAUGCUCUAGUUCCUACUUGGAUUUACUUUUAGGACCAUGGUGGGAAUGUAUCUGGCUCAGAACUGUGACAUACCAGACCUGGCUAAAAAAACGUGAAGAAAAAAAGGACUUGGCUGCCAAGAAGAAACCCUAGUUCAUGGAGCGGACUCCAGCACUACCUUCUGGAUAUUCCGAUUCUGCUCUUCUUGAGGGCCUCCUUACCAUCUGAACCAAAAUUCCAGCCUCAAUGAUUUUCCUCUCUUCUGGAUCCUACCUUGCCUCAGAGCUCAAAGGGGGCCACAAGCGAAGAACUAUGCUUUUCCAACCUCCUCAUCUCUUCCCUUCCUCCUUCCAGCCACUUGAGGUGGCCUAAGACUGGAAUUACAGUGCUAGAUGAAUGAAUGUGACCUUUAGUUAGUAGGCUCUUCCUUCAUUCUUUGGGAUUUCUACUACUUUUUUCCUAAAGAAAAAUUGAUGGGUUUGCGUAGCUGAUUAGAUUAAGCAGUGCUGAUUACACAGUAGCAAUUAUAAUGGUUGU